rnacentral:rRNA from 1 species
CCUACGGGUGGCAGCAGUGAGGAAUAUUGGUCAAUGGGCGAGAGCCUGAACCAGCCACGUCGCGUGAAGGAUGACUGCCCUAGGGGUUGUAAACUUCUUUUAUAAAGGAAUAAAGUGAUGCACGUGUGCCUUUGUGUAUGUACUUUAUGAAUAAGCAUCGGCUAAAUCCGUGCCAGCAGCCGCGGUAAUACGGAGGAUCCGAGCGUUAUCCGGAUUUAUUGGGUUUAAAGGGAGCGUAGAUGGGGUGUUAAGUCAGUUGUGAAAGUUUGCGGCUCAACCGUAAAAUUGCAAUGGAUACUGGCAGCCUUGAGUACAGGUGAGGUAGGCGGAAUUCGUGGUGUAGCGGUGAAAUGCUUAGAUAUCACGAAGAACUCCGAUGGCGAAGGCAGCCUACUAGACUGCCACUGACAUUGAUGCUCGAAAGUGUGGGUAUCAAACAGGAUUAGAUACCCUUGUAGUC